rnacentral:rRNA from 1 species
CUACGGAGUCGGGUUGCUUGAGAGUGCAGCCCGAAGUCGGAGGUAAACCCCUUCUAAAGCUAAAUACUACCACGAGACCGAUAGCGAACAAGUACCGCGAGGGAAAGUUGNAAAAGAACUUUGAAGAGAGAGUUCAACAGGGCGUGAAACCGCUUCGAAGAAAACGGACGAUACCGCUUGCUUUCUACGAAAAUCAGUCGCGCGAUUCCCCGUGAUUAACGCGGUCGGUACCGAUUUAAAAAGGUCUGACCGCGGUCGAUCGAGAUCGGGGACGCGCGGCGCAUUUUUCGUAGUUGCGAACACCGCGAUCGGUUAGUUCGCUCGUUAAUGAACGGCGACGAAUUGAGGGCGCUUUCCGCGAGGAUACGCGUAACCUAUCGUCCCGAUUAACGACGAGACGAACGGACUGUAUAAUUAAUUAAUUUGACGGACGUCGGCCGUAAAAGCUCGCUCGUACCGGUAGAGAAUCGGCCGUAGACGAGUCGCUCUGCUCGCAGACCUCGCGCCUACCCGGGCCGGUUGCUUCUAUCGGACGACGACGAUUCGGCGUUUCCGGAUUCCGCGGUGCUUUUAUUUAGUCGGUCGCUCGUCCGACCCGUCUUGAAACACGGACCAAGGAGUCUAACAUAUGCGCGAGUCGAUGAGUAUUUCAAUACUCCUACAGGCGUAAUAAAAGUAAAAUUCGAUANUUUAAAUCGAACGAGGUAGGAUUUCGGAAUUUUUGUUAAUAGCUCGUUCCGAACGCACUACCGUCCCGUCCAUCGUCGCUUAGUCGGCGGGGCGGAGACUGAGCGUAUACGUUGGGACCCGAAAGAUGGUGAACUAUGCCUGAGCAGGGCGAAGCCAGAGGAAA